GGACAACUCACGAGUAUACAGGCCUCACUGUGGGAGGAGUUACACGGACAGCUCACGAGUAUACAGGCCUCACUGUGGGAGGAGUUACACGGACAGCUCACGAGGUCUCACUGUGGGAGGAGUUACACGGAAAAAUCACGAGGUCUCACUGUGGGAGGAGUUACACGGACAACUCACGAGUAUACAGGUCUCACUGUGGGAGGAGUUACACGGACAAAUCACGAGGUCUCACUGUGGGAGGAGUUACACGGACAAAUCACGAACCCUCCACACGAUCCUGAAUAGCCUGAUGUUCUAUUCUUAGUUGAUUGAUCGAUUGAUUGAUCGCCAUCAAUUAUUGCUAAUCUUGUAUUCAAAACAAGUCCUGGUAUUAAAGUACGAUUUUUAUCAAUAUGUUAAAUAAAUACGAGAAUAGUGUUCUAUAUAUUUACAGAAUGCCGCAUCGUGGAAUCCAAACAUGCGCACUAACGCAAAAAAAGCAACAAUGUGGUAUCGUUUGCACUGGAUGUCGCUACUAAUUAACGUAAAGAAAGGGCGCUACUAAUUAACGUAAAGAAAGGGCGCUACUAAUAAACGUUAAGAAAGAUUGACGGAUGAGAUAAAGGGCUUUUAGACAUUUGUAACUGGGAAUGCAGAUUAGAUAAUUAACAGGGAACGAAAGACCCGUUUUACAUACACAGCGAUGAAUGACCCAAUUUUCUAUACAAACGGACGGACGACCUAUCUUACAAACACAGAGGCGAACGGCCCAUGUUACCUACACAGGGACAAAUUACCCAAAUCGUACAUAUACAGGAAUUAAUUACCCAUUUUACUUACACAGUGAUGAAUGACCCAGAUCGUACAUAAACAGGGACAAAUGACCCAAAUUGUACAUAUACAGGAACUAAUUACCCAUUUUACUUACACAGUGAUGAAUAACCCAAAUCGUACACAAACAGGGACACAUGACCCAAAUCUUACAUAAACAGGGACACAUGACCCAAAUCGUACAAACGACCCAUUUUACAUUUACAGGAAUGAAUGACCCAAAUCUUAUAUUUACAGGAAUGAAUGACCCAAAUCUUAAAUAAACAGGGACAAAUGACCCAAAUCGUACAAACACAGGUACAAAUGACCCAUUUUAAAGACACAGAGAAGAGUGACCCAUCUUACAAACAAAGGGAAGAAUGACCCAGUCUUCCAGAGAGACAGACCACGUGAUGCUACGUAGAGAGACGGACCACAUGGUGUUAUGUAUUAGGACACAUCUCCUCGCUGCAUUUUACAACUUCCUUUAGUUGUGUCAAUAAGAAAAAAGUCUCCUCGACAUCUCUUCUAAAUUUACUUCCACUUUGAUUUUAACGUUUUAAUGUAAUGGCAAAAGCAAGGAAUAUAUAAACGGCAGUGAUACAUGGUCUACAGUUAUACCAGCAUUCAAUGAAAGUUUACACUUUACGCAACAUUCAAUGAAAGUUUACACUUUACGCAACAUUCAAUGAAAGUUUACACUUAACGCAACAUUCAAUUAUACUUUACAUUUAA